GACAGAGGGGGCAAGCGUUGCUCGGAAUUACUGGGCGUAAAGGGCGCGUAGGCGGGAUGGCAAGUCGGUCGUGAAAUCCCUCGGCUCAACUGAGGAUCGUCGAUCGAUACUGCCGUUCUUGAGGAUUGCAGAGGAGACUGGAAUUCCCGGUGUAGCGGUGAAAUGUGUAGAGAUCGGGAGGAACACCGGUGGCGAAGGCGGGUCUCUGGGCAAUUACUGACGCUGAGGAGCGAAAGCGUGGGGAGCGAACAGG
rnacentral:rRNA from 1 species